AUUGAACGCUGGCGGCAUGCUUUACACAUGCAAGUCGAACGGUAACAGGCCGCAAGGUGCUGACGAGUGGCGAACGGGUGAGUAAUGCAUCGGAACGUGCCCAGUCGUGGGGGAUAACUACUCGAAAGAGUAGCUAAUACCGCAUACGAUCUAUGGAUGAAAGCGGGGGACCGUAAGGCCUCGCGCGAUUGGAGCGGCCGAUGUCAGAUUAGGUAGUUGGUGGGGUAAAGGCUCACCAAGCCAACGAUCUGUAGCUGGUCUGAGAGGACGACCAGCCACACUGGGACUGAGACACGGCCCAGACUCCUACGGGAGGCAGCAGUGGGGAAUUUUGGACAAGGGGGGCAAGCCUGAUCCAGCAAUGCCGCGUGCAGGAAGAAGGCCUUCGGGUUGUAAACUGCUUUUGUACGGAACGAAACGGCUCUGGUUAAUACCCGGGGCUAAUGACGGUACCGUAAGAAUAAGCACCGGCUAACUACGUG
rnacentral:rRNA from 1 species